rnacentral:rRNA from 1 species
AUUGAACGCUGGCGGCAUGCCUUACACAUGCAAGUCGAACGGCAGCACGGGUGCUUGCACCUGGUGGCGAGUGGCGAACGGGUGAGUAAUACAUCGGAACAUGUCCUGUAGUGGGGGAUAGCCCGGCGAAAGCCGGAUUAAUACCGCAUACGAUCUACGGAUGAAAGCGGGGGACCUUCGGGCCUCGCGCUAUAGGGUUGGCCGAUGGCUGAUUAGCUAGUUGGUGGGGUAAAGGCCUACCAAGGCGACGCUCAGUAGCUGGUCUGAGAGGACGACCAGCCACACUGGGACUGAGACACGGCCCAGACUCCUACGGGAGGCAGCAGUGGGGAAUUUUGGACAAUGGGCGAAAGCCUGAUCCAGCAAUGCCGCGUGUGUGAAGAAGGCCUUCGGGUUGUAAAGCACUUUUGUCCGGAAAGAAAUCCUUGGCCCUAAUACGGUCGGGGGAUGACGGUACCGGAAGAAUAAGCACCGGCUAACUACGUG